UAAAUUGUAAUUGAAUAAGUCAGAGUGAAAUGUGACCUUUUGUGACAGUGUCACAGGUUUUUGAGAGGUUUUAUAACAUUUAUUUUGCAGGUUUUGUCCUUCAGUUCUGUCUCUGAUGUUCACUCUCAUUUUGAGACCCUCACCUCAACUAUCAACAGUCCAUCAGCCUCCUACAUCCUCAAAUUGGCCAACCGCCUCUAUGGAGAGAAAACCUUCAGCUUCUUACCUGAGUAUUUGGACUCCACUCUGAAGCUGUACCACACGGACCUUCAGGCUGUGGACUUCAUUGGAGCAUCUGACGAGUCACGACUGCUCAUUAACAAAUGGGUGGAAGAGCAGACAGAGA